GCCAGCUAGAGCGCGCCCUCUGCCUUUCAGAGCCACCUCUCCACCAAAAGGGUCCUGAAGUCCGCAGGGCUGAUCCAGUGUCGGAGUGGCUGUGGCUUCACUUGGGCUUCAAAUACAGUUUUUGCAGUUGUUGGCCGGAGCCGGGUUUGAACCCCCCACCUCUGGCAUAUGGAGCCAGCACCCUACUCCUUGAGCUACAGAUAUGGACGCACCCCUACUUCUUCCCUGGACUUUUCGUGGAUGGUGAAUUCAUGUGACAUCUUAGGGAGGGCUCCUGAGUGGGCAGACAGAUGGGAGGGGGAGAUGCUCCAGGCCUUCCUCCUCUACCCCAUCCUCUCAGGGUUCUCCACCCUCAUCUGGGAGAGCCGGGGUCCCUGCCUGAGCUGAUGGUACUGUUUCAGGCAGGAACAAGGUGUGCAAUGAAGCCUCAUGUCUGGGCUGGCAGAAGACAGUCUUGCCUGACACAGAGCCCAUGUGGGACCUUGAGCAGCCUCUGGGGGAGUCAGUGAUUGACAAGUCCUGAGCAAGAAGGAGCUGGAGCUAACGAUCCUAGCAGAUGUCUCUCAUGAAAGGUCAGAGUUGAGCAGACCUGGACUGGAUCCCUGCUCUUCCACUUCUCAGCUGGGUGACCCUGGGAAAGUCACUAGACUUCUCUGUGAUUCAGUUCCCUGGUACA